CACAACACACACACCGUCAGACACGCACAGCACCCUCACUCACACACACACACACACAUAUGCACACAUACACACUGGCAUACCCAUGACACACUGCCACACACUAAAAACCAUUUCCACAGUCCAACAUAGAUAGUUUGAAAGUUUCUUCACCCAAACACACAAUAAAACAUCUACACACACACACACACACACACACACACAGUUCACUCCCUGUACAUCAAAACCAGGUAAAUUCACACACAUACCAAUAGCUUACACCCUCACAUCCCCCACACUAAAACCCUUCACCCUCACACCCAUCAUCAUCAUCAUUUAACGUCCAUUUAUUCCCUAUGGUGGGGUUGGACGGGAUAAUAUGAGCCUCCUCCACUGUUGCCGGUCCAUAGCCAUUUCUUCAGUGGUGUUCAGCCUCCUCAUAUCUUCCUCCACCCUCACACCCACACCCACCCAAACCAUACACACUCACACAAACCCACCUACCAACUCACACACCCACCCACACCUUACACCCUCACACCCACACCUAAAGUUAGCCAGAGUGAGUGGAAGUAGUCCAAAACAAACAAGACCAGGGAGUUACGCACAAAACAGGACACCAAAGGACAUUAAAACACCCAAGGCAUGUCCGGAAAAUUUAGAAGGACGGGGAAAUGGAAGGAAAAACAAAUGAAGGACGGAGGAGAGAAGGAAUGUUAUAAGGAUGAAGGAGUUAUAUAGGACAGGGAACUAGAAGGAAUAUAAAGAAAGAGGGGAAUAAAGGAACAAAAGGGUGAAGGAGUAGAGGAAAAGAGAAAUAGAAUGAACAUGUGGGAAUAUGGAAGUAAAGGAUCAUAGAGGAAUAAGGAAAUGGAAGGAAUAUAAAAGAAUAAAAGAGAGGAAUAAAGGAACAUAGGGAAAGAGGAAGAGAGAGAACUAGAAGGAAGAUGAGGGAAUAUGAACGUAAAAGAACAUGUGGGAAUAUGGAAGUAAUGAAAAAUAGAGGAAUAAAGAAAUGGAAGGAAUAUAAAGGAAUAAAAGAGAGGAAUAAAGGAACAUAGGGAAAGAGGAAGAGAGAAAACUAGAAGGAAGAUGAGGGAAUAUGAACGUAAAAGAACAUGGGCGAAUAUGGAAGUAAAGAAAAAUAGAGGAAUAAGGAAAUGAAAGGAACAUAACAGGAUAAAAGAGAGGAAGAAACACAGGAGAUAAGGGUGAUCAAUGCGACGAAACACAACCAAGACCAAAAAUAAGAUCGCCGUCGUCUUUGAGAAAAGGGAAAAACAGGUAACAGAUGCAAUACACAAAUAAAGUUAAACUAAAACCAUCAUCGGAAGAGGUCUUGAUCCCAUAACAAAAAUCUUGGUCAGCACACUUGGGGAAUCAACAAUCAACUCGGAGCAUGGCAUAAGAUCAUAGGGAUUUAAUAAGCAUAUGAAGAAUGGAGAGACAGGCAUGUUAUAAGGAUGGAGUAAUAUAUCAUCAGGUUAAAAAUAUUUAGGCAUGUCAGACUCCACGGCAAAACACAGAAAACCCAAACCAUUUAGACGCAAACAAUGAUAAAUAUGGACUGGGUGGAGGAGAGAAAGGAACAUUAUAAGGAUGAAGGAGUAACAUAUCAUCAGGUUAAAAAUAUUUAGGCAUGUCAGACUCCACGGCAAAACACAGAAAACCCAAACCAUUUAGACGCAAACAAUGAUAAAUAUGGACUGGGUAGAGGAGAGAAAGGAACAUUAUAAGGAUGAAGGAGUAACAUAUCAUCAGGUUAAAAAUAUUUAGGCAUGUCAGACUCCACGGCAAAACACAGAAAACCCAAACCAUUUAGACGCAAACAAUGAUAAAUAUGGACUGGGUAAACAACAAACAUCAUCACCAAAUUAGAAACACAAAUUAGUCCACCUUAGGAAAACUAAUGAAAACAAAAACCAAUAAAAAAGCAUUCAUGGUAUAAAAAAGUUAAUAAUAGCAAAUAGUUGGGUUAGUAGGCACACACAGGAAGGGUCAUAACAGGUAUUAGUACUGGUGUCAGCUGGGUCAGGGUAGAAUAGAUUGAAAAGGGAAAAGGAAUAAAAAGCAGGAAUGUGAGAAAAUAGUAGAAGAGAUUAAGGUGGAAAGAGGAAAGGAAGUAAUACACAAUAAUUAAAAAGAAAAGAAAAAGAAAGAAAUGAAGAUGAAAAAAUAUUAGAAGAGAUUUAUUAAGGUAGAAAGAGAAAAGGAAGGAAAACACAAUAAUCAGAAAAAAAUAAUAAACAGUAAUGAAGAUGCGAAAAUAUAAGAAGAGAUUAAGAUAGAAAGAGGAAAUGAAGGAAAAAAAACACAAAUUAAAAAGAAAAAAUAAAUAAAUAGCAAUAGAUGAAAAAAAUAUUACAAGAGACUGAUACAAAGAAGAAAUGAAGAAAAAAAACACAAAUUAAAAACAAAAAGAAAAAGUACUAAUAUAAACAAAAAAACAUUAAGGGAGAUUACGACACAGCAGAAAGCAGAGAAAAUAACAACAGAAACAGCAUUCAUGGUUAAAACACAAUAAUAGGUUACUAGGCACACAGAGGAUGGGUCAUAACAAGUAUUAGUACAGUCAUCCCUCAAAUAGUACAGUUUUCAAUAGUUUGGUUUCAAUUUUAUACGGACUGUCAGAGAAAAUCUUUUAGGAUUUAUAAAUUUCCUGCACGUUGGGAAAUUUAAAAAUCCUAAAAAAUCUUCUUAGAAAAUCCACAUAAAACCAAGACCGAACUAUUAGAAACUACUAUUUGAGGGGCGACUGUAAUAGGUUAGUAGGCACACAGAGGAAGGGUCAGAACAAGUAUUAGUAUUGGUGUCAGCUGGAGGAGGGUAAAAUAAAUAAAAACAGAACAAAACAAAAAUAGUGAUAUAAAUGAGAAGAUACUAAAAGGGAGAGCCAGAAGGGAAAUAAUAUAAAUAAGAAGACAUUAAAAGGAAGAAAACAGAGGAGAGACUUAAGAAGACAUUAAAAGGAAGAAAACAGAGGAGAGAGUUAAGAAGACAUUAAAAGGAAGAAAACAGAGGAGAGAGUUAAGAAGACAUUAACAGGAAGAAAACAGAGGAGAGAGUUAAGAAGACAUUGAAAGGAAGAAAACAGAGGAGAGAGUUAAGAAGACAUUAAAAGGAAGAAAACAGAGGAGAGAGUUAAGAAGACAUUAAAAGGAAGAAAACAGAGGAGAGAGUUAAGAAGACAUUAAAAGGAAGAAAACAGAGGAGAGAGUUAAGAAGACAUUAAAAGGAAGAAAACAGAGGAGAGAGUUAAGAAGACAU